rnacentral:rRNA from 1 species
GCGCGCCUAACACAUGCAGUCGAACGAGCGGAUUCCCUUCGGGGAAGAAGCUAGUGGCGGACGGGUGAGUAACACGUGAGGAACCUGCCUUACAGAGAGGGAUACCGUUUGGAAACGAACGUUAAUACCGCAUAACGUAUUGAAAUCGCAUGGUUUUGAUACCAAAGAUUUAUUGCUGUAAGAUGGCCUCGCGUCUGAUUAGAUAGUUGGUGAGGUAACGGCCCACCAAGUCGACGAUCAGUAGCCGGACUGAGAGGUUGAUCGGCCACAUUGGGACUGAGACACGGCCCAGACUCCUACGGGAGGCAGCAGUGGGGGAUAUUGCACAAUGGGCGAAAGCCUGAUGCAGCGACGCCGCGUGAGGGAAGACGGUUUUCGGAUUGUAAACCUCUGUCUUCGGGGACGAAAUGACGGUACCCGAGGAGGAAGCCACGGCUAACUACGUGCCAGCAGCCGCGGUAAUACGUAGGUGGCAAGCGUUGUCCGGAAUUACUGGGUGUAAAGGGAGAGUAGGCGGGAUUGCAAGUCCGUUGUUAAAUCUAUCGGCUUAACCGGUAGCUGCGGCGGAAACUGUAGUUCUUGAGUGAAGUAGAGGCAAGCGGAAUUCCGAGUGUAGCGGUGAAAUGCGUAGAUAUUCGGAGGAACACCAGUGGCGAAGGCGGCUUGCUGGGCUUUAACUGACGCUGAGGCUCGAAAGUGUGGGGAGCAAACAGGAUUAGAUACCCUGGUAGUCCACACUGUAAACGAUGAUAGCUAGGUGUGGGGGGUCUGACCCCUUCCGUGCCGGAGUU